GAUGAACGCUGGCGGCGUGCCUAACACAUGCAAGUCGAGCGAACAGACGAGGUGCUUGCUCCUCUGACGUUAGCGGCGGACGGGUGAGACACACGUGGAUAACCUACCUAUAAGACUGGGAUAACUACGGGAAAACGGAUCUCAUAGCGGAUAAUAUAUUGAACCGCAGGGUUCAAUAGUGAAAGACGGUUUUGCUGUCACUAAUAGAUGGAUCCGCGCUGGAUUAGCUAGUUGGUACGGUAACGGCUUACCAAGGCGACGAUGCGUAGCCGACCUGAGAGGGUGAUCGGCCACACUGGAACUGAGCCACGGUCCAGACUCCUACGGGAGGCAGCAGUAGGGAAUCUUCCGCAAUGGGCGAAAGCCUGACGGAGCAACGCCGCGUGAGUGAUGAAGGUCUUCGGAUCGUAAAGCUCUGUUAUUGGGAAAGAACAGAUGUGUAAGUAACUAUGCGCGUCUUGACGGUACCUGAUCAGAAAGCCACGGCUAACUACGUG
rnacentral:rRNA from 1 species